rnacentral:rRNA from 1 species
AUGGUCUGCUGCAUGUACAAACUCGUAGUAGGCCAGCUUAUUGGCCCAUCUGCUAAUACAUGCCAAAAUAAAUGCCCACUAUGGCACGACGUUGGAUUCCUACCUUCUAUCUUGCAUGUCCCUGUUCGGCUGUUGACUCUGCCUAAUCGGCUCCUCUUCCCCACAAUCUCCUUUCCUGCAAAUUGCCAGAAACGAACGGCCGCACCACACAAUAACACAAAUGCGGAGGAGGUAACUGAACCGCUCGCUUAUCCUUUAAAUAUCAGCCUGGAGUGCACAAGUGUGUAUGAAUCUUACUUUCUGAAAGAAGAGAAUCGUCUUCCACCACAACUGGACUCAGAUCUUUGA